GACGAACGCUGGCGGCGUGCUUAACACAUGCAAGUCGAACGGAAAGGCCCUGCUUUUGUGGGGUGCUCGAGUGGCGAACGGGUGGGUAACACGUGAGUAACCUGCCCUUGACUUUGGGAUAACUUCAGGAAACUGGGGCUAAUACCGGAUAGGAGCUCCUGCUGCAUGGUGGGGGUUGGAAAGUUUCGGCGGUUGGGGAUGGACUCGCGGCUUAUCAGCUUGUUGGUGGGGUAGUGGCUUACCAAGGCUUUGACGGGUAGCCGGCCUGAGAGGGUGACCGGCCACAUUGGGACUGAGAUACGGCCCAGACUCCUACGGGAGGCAGCAGUGGGGAAUAUUGCACAAUGGGCGGAAGCCUGAUGCAGCAACGCCGCGUGCGGGAUGACGGCCUUCGGGUUGUAAACCGCUUUCGCCUGUGACGAAGCGUGAAUGACGGUAAUGGGUAAAGAAGCACCGGCUAACUACGUG
rnacentral:rRNA from 1 species